AUGACCCCUCCUUCCUCACACACACAAUGGUGCAACGUUACAAGAAUAGAAAGUAACCAUGGCUCAUAAAUGCCUGCAACGAUUCACAUGACCCGACCCAAACCCUGUAACAAAGUCACUGACAUCAUUACCAAAACAAACAAAAAAUUCGGUUGCCUGGAUGGUGUCAAUGUUUGCCUCGGAUGAAAGAACCUGCCUUGUUUUGGCGGGCAAACCUAUCCUUUUGUGAGACAGGGUAAACAGAGAGGGGCGGUAUACAUUACACAGACACCUAUUCAAGACGUCUGACCUUAUGUCAGGCCGGACGACAUUCACAACUCACCUUCGUCUGAGCAGGUAUAUCCAGGCUAGCUGAGACCAACGUUCAUCUUCUGUACACCCCACAAGAAGAACUACAAUCCUAAAGAUGAGGACUCUCCUGGUUGCACUUCUCCUGUUUGCUUUUGCAUACGAAACCAUCACAGCCACGACCACCGCCGCCGCAUCCACCGCCGCAGCAGCCACCGGUGCCACGACGGCCGCGGCCACGACCGCGAAUGGGACCAUGACCACCGCAUCCUCGGGGGCUCCCAACCUCGCUCACGUCAUCGAGAUGCUGCUCAUGCCACUGCUCAUGGCAAUACUAGCUAACAUCCGCUAGGCGGCGUUGUUUCAAACAGCCAACCAACAGCGGCAGUAACCUGCUUGAAGUGGAUGAUCUGAUAGCCUCCGUAGCAGGCUUAUAGAACUGGGGGUUUGGUGGUCUUCCGCUGUUUUCUGAUUAGCCCUGUUCUAAAAAAACGGGGGUAAUUCAACCAGGCCGGCUAGGUUGUCUAUAUGCAAUCAGAAAAUAGCACAUAAAAGAUCCCAAAGACCCCCAAACCCCCAGUUUUUUGGCAUGCUAUGGAGGCUAAUGAUCUGAUUUGAUUUUCUAUUUUGCAGUUAAAGAUGCAAACAAUGAUUUGCUGUGUUUCGUUAAUUAAACGUUUCGGAAUGAUUUAGCUAUGGGUAUGGUACAGAAUGUCUCUAUACUAGUUAUGUUCUAUCGUACCUACACAUGAUUCCAAGUUUUAGUAAGAAAUA